CUAGGUGUAUCUAUUUAAAUAGAUGAGACAGCACGCGCUCUCCAUCAGGCCUAAUUAGACUCAGGUGUGGAACUGGUUUCCUUUCCUCCCAUCAAAGACACCAGACAAGUGACGAAGCCCACAGAGAGAAACUCCUCGAUACCAACACACAGAGGAAGCUCAGUGCGCUGACGUCACACGUCUUCAGGACACUGAGGCUGGAGUGGGAUGGGACAGUUUGCACCGGUCAGUGACUCAGACUUUUGUCUGUCUCCUCCCCUUCCCGGAGACUCACUGUGCCCCCUAUUAACCGAUGGGUGACUCCAGGUACGUAACUGUCUGUGAACAGAAUACAUAAUGUGUCACUCUUCUGUUGGUAGCUGGAUGUUUGACUGAAACUUAAGUAUAACACAGUAUGAACAAGAGAUUCUUCUCUAAUCAAACCUUUCAAUCAGUCUGAUUUAUAUGUUAUUCUGUUGAUGACAAAAAGAAGUGAGCACAAAGUAAUUUUAGCUGAUGUAAAUCUCAAAGUGAGGAGCACACAGGGACAGAUUAAUAUACUCAGAGCACAUUUUGAAAGGACGUAAGAGUGUACUGAAUGUUUUAAGACAAACUGUGUUUCAGGUGUGUGUGAGCAGCAGAGCUUCCUGAACUUGUCUUCAGUCAUGUUCACUCAGUUUCACUCAGACAUCACCUUUUAAGUAACACCGGGUUACUUAUCCUAGCGUCGUUCUUUCCAUAGAUCGCUACUGAAAAAUAAUUGACCCCAACAGAUUAAGGUGCGCCCUUUAACAUCGAUGCAUCCUUUCAAGUUUUUAUGUGAAAAAGCAGCUAGGGAAUAGUUUUGGGCCAUCUCAAAUAAAAUCAUGACUCUGUUUGGUUUUUGCUGUCUCAGAGUAAAAUCCAAUGCUUUUAUUGUUUUUAAAAAGGUUUUAAAAAGUCAAACAAGAGAAAGACUUUUCAGCUUUUAUUUGAAAUGUGACUUUACACAGGGAAACCAAAUGUCAUGUUUGUGGAUAUAAAAAAAAGUUCAAUAACAAAAACUGUCACACAAAAGGUGUGGUAUGUCUUUUUGCAACAUUCUUUCUAGCUUCCCACUGAAUCUGAGCUUUGACAGAGGCACCUCUCUCUUUAAUAAAUAGUUUCAUUUACAGAAUGAGUAAUUAGUUAUAAAUAUGAAGGCGCAUAUUAAACAUUUUUAAAGCAAUUAUAAAUGUAUUGAUUCAGUUACCAAAAAACAAAUAGGCAAGCAAACCAGUCAAGCAGAGAUGCAAAACUGUAAAUUAUAUUGGCAAACCCAAGAAAUUGGCGCACAAUGAUAAACAUACAAAACAUGAUGCUCAAACACAAGUGAAACUUUAAAUUAUAGGCACUAGUUUAAGAACACCCACCACACCAAUUACCAGAACAGCUUUCCCAACACUGGCACACCUUUUGAUUUAAUGUCAUAGCACUAGAGGUAAAAGCCAGUCAAAAAUUUAACUUGUCAUCCUACCCAAGAUAUUUUUCGAUUUUUUUUUUCUUGUUCAUGGCAUGAAUGAUAUACACUGACAAAUCUGUUAUGGGAAUUUAAUGAACAACAUCAAAGAUUUCUUGGUUUCAUUGGCUGAAUGGGUGAACGGGGAUUAAAUAUAUUUUUGAGUUCAGGUUUCUUUCUCAAUAGAUGGAGUUUGUUUGAGACAUCAGAUAUAACGCACACCUGGACUGAAACUGACCAAUCGAAGCACUUCAAUGGAAAAGUACAAUCUUGGCAAACUGUGGUACAAGUCAGAACUGAGGCUUUGGCCGUGGUGUCAUUAAUCACCCAGGUUUCCCACAAGUCCUGAUUUGACAUUUUGAAAAUAACAAAAAAAAAGGCUUUGGAGAUUUAGCUUGCAAUUGAGGUUCAAAAUGUACAUUUUAAACAAUUGAAAUCUUAAAACAAAAUACUGAUAUGGAUGUUUGGACAUACACUUAAAUAAUUUGAAUAAAUAAUUUCCAAAACAAACUUGUGCAUACAUUCUGGCUGAUUUUACAAGAGGAAAGAUUCUUAAAAUGUCAUACCCACACAGAGGUGCUUUCACUGUUGCAAGACAUCAACAAUUCUCUAACGUUAUGGAACAGUUCACCUGCACAGCAUCAUCAUAGAGAUCGCUCACCGACAUCUGUUAAACACAGAGCAUAGAGAGAGAAA